rnacentral:rRNA from 1 species
GCACCGGCUAACUACGUGCCAGCAGCCGCGGUAAUACGUAGGGUGCAAGCGUUAAUCGGAAUUACUGGGCGUAAAGCGUGCGCAGGCGGUUUUGUAAGACAGUGGUGAAAUCCCCGGGCUCAACCUGGGAACUGCCAUUGUGACUGCAAGGCUGGAGUGCGGCAGAGGGGGAUGGAAUUCCGCGUGUAGCAGUGAAAUGCGUAGAUAUGCGGAGGAACACCGAUGGCGAAGGCAAUCCCCUGGGCCUGCACUGACGCUCAUGCACGAAAGCGUGGGGAGCAAACAGGAUUAGAUACCCUGGUAGUCCACGCCCUAAACGAUGUCAACUGGUUGUUGGGAAUUUAUUUUCUCAGUAACGAAGCUAACGCGUGAAGUUGACCGCCUGGGGAGUACGGCCGCA